UACGGAGGAUCCGAGCGUUAUCCGGAUUUACUGGGCGUAAAGGGUGCGCAGGCGGGAGAUUAAGUCGGCGGUGAAAUUUUGCAGCUCAACUGUAAAAGUGCCUUCGAAACUGGUUUCCUUGAGUGUGGAUGAAGUAGGCGGAAUUUGUGGUGUAGCGGUGAAAUGCAUAGAUAUCACGAGGAACUCCGAUUGCGCAGGCAGCUUACUAAACCAUAACUGACGCUCAGGCACGAAGGCGUGGGGAUCAAACAGGAUUAGAUA
rnacentral:rRNA from 1 species